rnacentral:rRNA from 1 species
UACCAGCGCCCCGAGUGGUCGGGACGAUUAUUGGGCCUAAAGCAUCCGUAGCCGGUCCUACAAGUCUUCCGUUAAAUCCACCUGCUUAACAGAUGGGCUGCGGAAGAUACUAUAGGGCUAGGAGGCGGGAGAGGCAAGCGGUACUCAGUGGGUAGGGGUAAAAUCCUCUGAUCCAUUGAAGACCACCAGUGGCGAAGGCGGCUUGCCAGAACGCGCUCGACGGUGAGGGAUGAAAGCUGGGGGGAGCAAACCGG